rnacentral:rRNA from 1 species
CACGUAGUUAGCCGGUGCUUCUUAUCAAGGUACCGUCAUCCUCAUCUAGUAUUAGUAGAUAAGUUUUCUUUCCUUGCGAAAGAGCUUUACAACCCGAAGGCCUUCUUCACUCACGCGGCAUGGCUGGAUCAGGCUUUCGCCCAUUGUCCAAAAUUCCCCACUGCUGCCUCCCGUAGGAGUCUGGGCCGUGUCUCAGUCCCAGUGUGGCUGAUCAUCCUCUCAGACCAGCUACUGAUCGUCGCCUUGGUAGGCUUUUACCCCACCAACUAGCUAAUCAGAUAUCGGCCGCUCCAUUAACGUGAGGUCCGAAGAUCCCCCACUUUCCCCCUCAGGGCGUAUGCGGUAUUAGCUAAUCUUUCGACUAGUUAUCCCCCAUUAUUGGACACGUUCCGAUAUAUUACUCACCCGUUCGCCACUCGCCAUCAGAGUGCAAGCACUCCAUGCUGCCGUCCGACUUGCAUGUGUAAAGCAUGCCGCCAGCGUUCAA